rnacentral:rRNA from 1 species
UACGUAGGGGCAAGCGUUGUCCGGAAUUAUUGGGCGUAAAGGGUGCGUAGGCGGCCUUUUAAGUCAGAUGUGAAAGACCACGGCUUAACCGUGGGGUUGCAUUUGAAACUGCUGUUCUUGAGUGAUGGAGAGGCAGGCGGAAUUCCCGGUGUAGCGGUGGAAUGCGUAGAUAUCGGGAGGAACACCAGUGGCGAAGGCGGCCUGCUGGACAUUUACUGACACUGAGGCUCGAAAGUGUGGGGAGCAAACAGGAUUAGAUACCCGCGUAGUCCCU